AGACUAUACCUGUGCCCUCCAGACAGACAUCCUACUGCAGGGACGCCUCUACCUGUCAGAGAACUGGCUCUGUUUCUAUAGCAACAUGUUUCGGGGGACAAAGCAGGUCAUUUCACAGGGAACUGUCAGAGGCGCUCUCGUAUUGUUACAUCACAAACAUGUCGAGAAUGAAGGUUCCAACAUGGCAGCUGUUCAAAAAGGGCAGAACUCUCUUUUAUAUAUGGCUCUGGUUGUAGAUAGCCUUGACUCUGGAAGUCAUCACUAUGCUCUCUGGUUAUAG
rnacentral:lncRNA from 1 species